rnacentral:tRNA from 1 species
GUUUUCAUGGUUGAAUAACAACGGUGGCUUUUCAUAUCAUUAAGUUUCGGUUAGAUUCCGGGUGAAAAUU